rnacentral:rRNA from 1 species
AACGAACGCUGGCGGCAGGCCUAACACAUGCAAGUCGAGCGCCCCGCAAGGGGAGCGGCGGACGGGUGAGUAACGCGUGGGAACGUGCCUCUUGCUACGGAAUAGCCUCGGGAAACUGGGAGUAAUACCGUAUGUGCCCUACGGGGGAAAGAUUUAUCGGCAAGAGAUCGGCCCGCGUUGGAUUAGGUAGUUGGUGGGGUAAUGGCCUACCAAGCCGACGAUCCAUAGCUGGUUUGAGAGGAUGAUCAGCCACACUGGGACUGAGACACGGCCCAGACUCCUACGGGAGGCAGCAGUGGGGAAUCUUAGACAAUGGGCGCAAGCCUGAUCUAGCCAUGCCGCGUGAGCGAUGAAGGCCUUAGGGUUGUAAAGCUCUUUCAGUGGGGAAGAUAAUGACUGUACCCACAGAAGAAGCCCCGGCUAACUCCGUGCCAGCAGCCGCGGUAAUGUAGUCGUG